rnacentral:rRNA from 1 species
GACGGGGCCGCACAAGCGGAGGAGCAUGUGGCUUAAUUCGAUGCAACGCGAAAAACCUUACCCACCUUUGACAUGUACGGAAUCCUUUAGAGAUAGAGGAGUGCUCGAAAGAGAGCCGUAACACGGGUGCUGCAUGGCUGUCGUCAGCUCGUGUCGUGAGAUGUUGGGUUAAGUCCCGCAACGAGCGCAACCCUUGUCAUUAGUUGCUACAUUCAGUUGGGCACUCUAAUGAGACUGCCGGUGACAAACCGGAGGAAGGUGGGGAUGACGUCAAGUCCUCAUGGCCCUUAUAGGUGGGGCUACACACGUCAUACAAUGGAUGGUACAAAGGGUCGCCAACCCGCGAGGGGGAGCCAAUCCCAUAAAGCCAUUCGUAGUCCGGAUCGCAGUCUGCAACUCGACUGCGUGAAGUCGGAAUCGCUAGUAAUCGUGGAUCAGAAUGUCACGGUGAAUACGUUCCCGGGUCUU